AGAAGGAGGAACUGUGAGGAAGUCGGCUGGAAUCCAAUUUCUACUUUUAUUCAGGUGAGGCUGGAAAAAUCCAGCAAGAAGCCAAAGUCCAUUGAUCCAAACAAGGGAAGCAACACAGCAGGAGAAUAAUACAAACACUGCAGCCCAACAAAGAGCUGAGGAAAACUAAGCGCUUCACAGUUGACUCAGUGACUGCAAGGUGCC